AGAGCUACAUGCUGAAAAGGUAGAGAUAUUAGAAGCAGCAAGGGCCCAGUGCCAAAGCUGGGGACCCAUGAAGGCAGAUGAAAGACUGGCACGGAUUAGGAUUUAAGUCAAGGUCAUGGGUUGAAUGUUAGGUGAGGAUGGCUCCAAGAGAUUCCCUCAGGGAUUUGAAGGCGGCAGCUGCAAGAUGGGAGAAUGUUCUCUCACAGUAACUGGAAUUGUGCUGAUUGGCAGAGACCAGCCUCCUCAUCGGAUUCUGACACAGGAGGAAGGCGAGGAUGGAGAGUUCUCAGAAGUGCUUAACAUGCAUUCCGAGUUUUAGAGUAUACACGAAUAAAGAAACUCCUAUGGAGUCUCUUGACGGCUGCCUGGAGAAUUGUAAAAUUGAGAAACGGACUGGAGUGGUCUGUGAUAGGCGGCCCAAGGAGGGGGCCAGUAACCAGCAGGUGGAGACUUCAACUCUCAGUCUGACAAGAAUAGAUGAGUUUUCUCUGGGCUAAUUGAGCACCUUAAAAAGUCACUGGGCUCAAGAUAUUUUGGUGGGCCCAUGCCCAGGGGGAUAGCCUGCCUAGGUGAGAAGCCCCCAGCAGCAUGAAGUUAGAGGAUACCUGCCAGUAGCUGGAGACGAAAGGUGGAGCGCCACAAGAGGUCAGUUUGCCUCAAGAAGAAGAGCCAAGAACCUUGCCAGUUCGACUUCUUGGUAGG